AUUGAACGCUGGCGGCAGGCUUAACACAUGCAAGUCGAGCGGGGGAAGGUAGCUUGCUACCGGACCUAGCGGCGGACGGGUGAGUAAUGCUUAGGAAUCUGCCUAUUAGUGGGGGACAACAUCUCGAAAGGGAUGCUAAUACCGCAUACGUCCUACGGGAGAAAGCAGGGGAUCUUCGGACCUUGCGCUAAUAGAUGAGCCUAAGUCAGAUUAGCUAGUUGGUGGGGUAAAGGCCUACCAAGGCGACGAUCUGUAGCGGGGCUGAGAGGAUGAUCCGACACGCUGGGACUGAGGCACGGCCCAGACUCCUACGGGAGGCAGCAGUGGGGAAUAUUGGACAAUGGGGGGAACCCUGAUCCAGCCAUGCCGCGUGUGUGAAGAAGGCCUUAUGGUUGUAAAGCACUUUAAGCGAGGAGGAGGCUACUUUAGUUAAUACCUAGAGAUAGUGGACGUUACUCGCAGAAUAAGCACCGGCUAACUCUGUGCCAGCCGCCGCCGUAA
rnacentral:rRNA from 1 species